CGCUGUCAUGAUGAUAUUGUAUUUGCUGCACUGAAUGGUUGUGCUGACACACAAUACCACCAAGAUCUCUGAUGCA